rnacentral:rRNA from 1 species
CGGGGUGCACCAGGCGCGAAAACUUUACAAUGCUGGCAACAGCGAUAAGGGGACCUCGAGUGCCAGGAUACAAUCUUGGCUGUCGCGAUGCCUAAAAAGCAUUGCAUAGCAAGGGCCGGGCAAGACCGGUGCCAGCCGCCGCGGUAACACCGGCGGCUCGAGUGGUAACCGCUAUUAUUGGGUCUAAAGGGUCUGUAGCCGGCCGGAUAAGUCUUUUGGGAAAUCCAGCUGCUCAACAGUUGGGCUUUCAGAAGAUACUGUUCGGCUCGAGACCGGGAGAGGUGAGAGGUACUUCAGGGGUAGGGGUGAAAUCUUGUAAUCCUUGAAGGACCACCAGUGGCGAAGGCGUCUCACCAGAACGGAUCUGACGGCAAGGGACGAAAGCUAGGGGCACGAACCGGAUUAGAUACCCGGGUAGUCCUAGCCGUAAACGAUACUCGCUAGGUGUCAGCCACGGUGCGACCGUGGUUGGUGCCGUAGGGAAGCCGUGAAGCGAGCCACCUGGGAAGUACGGCCGCAAGGCUGAAACUUAAAGGAAUUGGCGGGGGAGCACAAGGGCGAUUCGCGG